UCUGGUGCCCACAGCGUCCCGGAACCACCCCUUCCCAUCCCGAACAGGACCGUGAAACAGGAUUGCGCCGAUGAUAUUGCGGAUUGCCCGCGAGAAAGUAGGUCAGCGCCAGAC
rnacentral:rRNA from 1 species